rnacentral:misc_RNA from 1 species
CAAGGUCGGUUUGGUUUUCCGCAUCCUCGGUCGAGAAGAACAUUGCUAUCGGGCAGAUCAAGUUGCAGGCGCGAGGCUGGAGUGCGCAAGCUGUUGGAAUGGGUCAAUC